UACGUAGGGUGCGAGCGUUGUCCGGAAUUAUUGGGCGUAAAGGGCUCGUAGGCGGUUUGUCGCGUCGGGAGUGAAAACCAUGGGCUUAACUCAUGGCUUGCUUUCGAUACGGGCAGACUAGAGGUAUGCAGGGGAGAACGGAAUUCCUGGUGUAGCGGUGAAAUGCGUAGAUAUCAGGAGGAACACCGGUGGCGAAGGCGGUUCUCUGGGCAUGACCUGACGCUGAGGAGCGAAAGUGUGGGGAGCGAACAGG
rnacentral:rRNA from 1 species